rnacentral:rRNA from 1 species
UGGUGGAGUGAUUUGUCUGGUUAAUUCCGUUAACGAACGAGACCUCAGCCUACUAAUUAGAUUGUUCCAUGGAAACAUGGUGCAACGCUUCUUAGAGGGACUAUCGGAUACCAAACCGAUGGAAGUAUGAGGCAAUAACA